rnacentral:rRNA from 1 species
CGGAGGGGGCAAGCGUUAUUCGGAAUUAUUGGGCGUAAAGGGCGCGUAGGCGGCUUGGUAAGUCAAAGGUGAAAUCCCUCGGCUCAACCGAGGAAUUGCCUUUGAAACUGCCUGGCUUGAGGCCGGGAGGGGGUAGCGGAAUUCCCAGUGUAGCGGUGAAAUGCGUAGAUACUGGGAGGAACACCGGUGGCGAAGGCGGCUACCUGGACCGGUUCUGACGCUGAUGCGCGAAAGCGUGGGGAGCAAACAGGAUUAGAUACCCUGGUAGUCCACGCUGUAAACGAUGGGUGCUCGGUGUCGCGGGUAUCGACCCCUGCGGUGCCUUAGCUAACGCGUUAAGCACCCCGCCUGGGGAGUACGGUCGCAAGGCUG